rnacentral:rRNA from 1 species
GCCCAAGAGAUCGGGAUAACACCUGGAAACAGAUGCUAAUACCAGAUAACAACAGAUGAUGCCUAUCAACUGUUUAAAAGAUGGUUCUGCUAUCACUCUUGGAUGGACCUGCGGUGCAUUAGCUAGUUGGUAGGGUAACGGCCUACCAAGGCGAUGAUGCAUAGCCGAGUUGAGAGACUGAUCGGCCACAUUGGGACUGAGACACGGCCCAAACUCCUACGGGAGGCAGCAGGC